UGGGGAAUAUUGCACAAUGGGCGCAAGCCUGAUGCAGCCAUGCCGCGUGUAUGAAGAAGGCCUUCGGGUUGUAAAGUACUUUCAGCGGGGAGGAAGGGAGUAAAGUUAAUACCUUUGCUCAUUGACGUUACCCGCAGAAGAAGCACCGGCUAACUCCGUGCCAGCAGCCGCGGUAAUACGGUGGGUGCAAGCGUUAAUCGGAAUUACUGGGCGUAAAGCGCACGCAGGCGGUUGAUUGAGUCAGAUGUGAAAUCCCCGGGCUUAACCCGGGAAUUGCAUCUGAUACUGGUCAGCUAGAGUCUUGUAGAGGGGGGUAGAAUUCCAUGUGUAGCGGUGAAAUGCGUAGAGAUGUGGAGGAAUACCGGUGGCGAAGGCGGCCCCCUGGACAAAGACUGACGCUCAGGUGCGAAAGCGUGGGGAGCAAACAGG
rnacentral:rRNA from 1 species